rnacentral:lncRNA from 1 species
CACACCCAGGGAAGAGCUGGUGCUGCUAGCUGGGAAAUGAGGCCAACCCCCUGGCUACUUCCUCCUCUUUAGGGGCCCUCUAAGGCAUCUGGGCGGAGGUUUCUGGGUGGCUUCAGCCUUCAGAAUUAACACAACAGCCUCCUGAUGGGCAGCAGUGGUGGGAGAAAGGAGCGAGUGGAGUGCCAUGUCGGGCAGGGUUGGGACACAGGAUGAGAUACUACUCUUUUAAGAGUAAGACACCGCAAGAAAAGGUGGCUUCCCCUGGAAAGGUGGGAAGCAACAGAUUGGUGUUUUCUUGAUUAGAAAUGCUAUGGAAUUCAUUCAUCCAUUCACCAUCCAUCCAUCCAUCCAAACAACCAAUGCAUAUGGGAAGCUGGCUACGUCCUCGGUCCUUUGCUAGGUACUAGGGGACUGGUUUCCAUCCUCGAGAAGCCCACAGGCUUGUGGGAGGAAGAUAAGCAGGUUUGGUCUUUGCCUCUGGUCUCAGCCCCCUGUAGUAUCCCACAGGCAGCCCCCAGGCAGAUCUCCUUAAUUGUCCCCUUUCUCUGCUUCAGCACCUGGAAUGACUGUCCCAGGAUUAAGUCCACACUUCCAGCCUGGAAUCCCCUCUCUGCACAGCCUGGUCCUAUCCCAGGACCCUACACUCCCCCUCACUACCCCCAGCAUGCCUUUCCUACAGCCAGGCAGGACUUGGCAGGAGCAUGCCACGCCAACUUUAGACCCCAGUGCUGGCUACAUGGGGGGAGGAGAGGGCAACUCGUUUUUUAACUAUUGACCCCUCCUUGAUGUCUGGCAAGGGGCUAAUUAGCAGCAAACGUCUUCUGAAUCAUCUUUACCAUGCAAAUAUGGAAAUAUAUUUUUUUAAAAAAGAAUCCUACUACACAUAUUACUAUGUACUUUGGUUUUUAAAAACUAUAUGUAAUGACUGUCCUUUUGUGGCAUUAAAUAUGAAUCUGCAGUAUAAUGUGGAAUCCUGUGAAGGUGUCCUGG